AACUAUCGGAGUUAAACUUCCGCGGGAAAAGCUGGAGGUAGGCCUACGUGAAUGUAGGCUUAACUGAUUUCUGCUUCAAUUCAUUGCAAGGUAUUGACACAUUCACUGGUUUUAAAAAAACAUGACAAAGUGCCUUGAUAUGGUAUGAAGUAGCAUAUAUAUCACUUGAGCAAUGAGUGAUAAGAUAGCUGGUGUUGAGACGGCGGCCAAGAGGGUGCUGACCCGCGCUGUAGAGCUUGAUGCCAGCCGAAGGUUUGAUGAAUCUGUCGUCUGCUAUCAGGAAGGAAUCCAUCUUUUGAUGGAGGUCCUCAAAGGUACUAGUGACCAGACAAAGAAGAAUGCAGUAAGGAAGAGGAUAGAAGAGUACAUGGGUCGAGCAGAACAGAUAAAAGUUCACGUCCAGGAAGCCAAGGAAGCUGGGAAAUCCCAUGAACAGAUCCAGAUAGAUGAGUACUCUACUGGCCAUGGGUAUGAGAGCCUGUUUGGGAGAUACCUUGAUGGGUUCCUGACAGAGGUUCACAUAGAAGACCCUUACAUCAGAUCUACACACCAGGUGUACAAUUUGCUGCGUUUCUGUGAGAUGCUGGUGAAGAGUGAGUCUCCAGUGACUAAAGUCCGUCUGUACACUGGCAGAGAUGAGAGUGAAGACUCAAGGAAACAGCAACAUAACAGGCUAGACCAGAUAACAAGGAGUCUACAGAAACACAAUGUACAACUUGUUGUCGAGUACAACGAUGCUCUGCAUGACCGCGAAAUCAGGUUCAAUAACGGCUGGAUUUUGAAAAUUGGACGUGGACUGGACAUAUUCAAAGCUACUGAAUCUAAGUUUACGAUAGGAUUUUGUGACUUUGACCUUCGACCUUGCCACAAAACUACUAUUGAUAUUUUCCAUUCAAACUAUUUACACAAGACUGAUACUGUGUAGUGAUUCGUGCUUGUGUUUUCACCAGAAACUGUGUUGUUAAAUGGUGUUUUGUGACCAUACUGUCAUAUUUAUGAAUAUCUACAUAUAUUUUGCUGAGACAGGUCAAAUCAGACAUCUUCACUGCGCCAAAUCUGUAGUUAUCAUGAUGUCAUCAAAUGUUGUGUACAAGAUAAACAUCAAUGAUUAUGUGUGAUAAAAUGUAUGAGUCGGAUGAGUCUUUCCGUACCAUCUAUCAUUUUUCUUUUACGUUCAAUUUAUCAUUUUAAGGAUGGAUUAUGCAGUAACAUGUGAUGUCAUCAGAUGUUGUGCAGUAACAUGUGAGGUCAUCAGAUGUUGUGAAGUAACAUCUGAUGUAGUCAGAUGUUGUGUAGUGAUUUUAUGUCAACAGAAGCUUGAACUAUUUAUUGAGGUAUUAUGUAUUAAUGUCAUGUCAUCGCUUCUCACAGCGUGCUCAAACAAAUUUUCUUGUAAGUCGCUUAAAUCAUGCCAAACAAUCAAAAAGUCAAAUGUAAACAUUGAGAACAGUAUUUGGCUCAAGUCCCUUAUUUUUCCAAAAUCAUUGACAAAAUAGGUAUCUUUAUAAAUUUUUAACGGGAACAAGAAAUUAGGCUUGAGCACAAAAACUAUGCUUUAGCAUGAGAACUGUUUCAUGAAUACGGGCCCAGGUAUAUAUUUUGUGAUGCUUGGAAGGACAGUGCCAUAUAUGGUUUACAUAAAAACAAUUCAGCACCAUGAAAUGAAGUGAUUUUCUGUUGUUUAUGCAGCUUCUAAUGUAUAAAUUAUGAGUUUUAUCAGAUGUGCUUCCCUGUGAUAUUGAUUAUAAUUUUUGUACCAUUCUUAAUGAAUAUGUCAUGUUAUACACCUAUAGGUAGAAGUAGAUAUCAUUAUUGUACAUGAUGUGAAUCCACAUUGAUAAAUGAAAAGGUUAAUUGUAAGUAAAAAAAAGUACCGGUAUUUUGAGCCUUGAAAAUGAAAAACAAAAUGGUGGUAAUUAAUUGAAAAUGUUAAAUAGGAAAUUACCAUGUAGUUUCAAAAAUCUGGGUUAAUAGAAGAAAUCUUCAAAGUAAUAAUGUUGAAAGCAAAAGAGGAAAGUGGACGAAAUUAUUUGGAACAAUAACCAUUCAGUUUUCUGUUAUAAUAUCGAUAGCAGAAACCCUGGAGAGAAGACAAGCUUAAAAUUUAUAAUGAAUGUGUUGGCUGAUCCUUCAAAACACCUUAAGGUGGGCUUAUAAUUAUUCCCAAGUGUAGAAAAGUUCCGGAAGGGAAGUAACUCUUCCAGUCUUCUGCACUAAAACGAUAUCAAUGCUAUUAUUCUACAUGUAACUUUAUAGAUUAACUAAUAUGUCUGGGUAUUAAUCAACAAUUUUUGUUUCAAUUCUUUUUAUAAAAUAUAUUGAAUACUGGUUUAACAGUAAAAGACAUUCUUUUAUCAAAUAAAUUUGAGAAGAAAACUUGACGUAGUUGUGU
rnacentral:misc_RNA from 1 species